GGCCUCCCAGUGCUUACACAGGCUGCAUUCUGACGGCCAGCACAGAAAGAGGCCGCGGAGAAAACCACCCGGGUGCACCGCAGCCCGGGCCCUCUGCCUGGUCUGUACUGUGAGUGGGGGGACGUGG